CCUACGGGAGGCAGCAGUGAGGAAUAUUGGUCAAUGGGCGCGAGCCUGAACCAGCCAAGUAGCGUGAAGGAUGACUGCCCUACGGGUUGUAAACUUCUUUUAUAAAGGAAUAAAGUGAGGCACGUGUGCAUUUUUGUAUGUAUUUUAUGAAUAAGGAUCGGCUAACUCCGUGCCAGCAGCCGCGGUAAUACGGAGGGUCCGAGCGUUAUCCGGAUUUAUUGGGUUUAAAGGGAGCGUAGGUGGAUUGUUAAGUCAGUUGUGAAAGUUUGGGGCUCAACCGGAAAAUUGCAGUUGAAACUGGCAGUCUUGAGUACAGUAGAGGUGGGCGGAAUUCGUGGUGUAGCGGUGAAAUGCUUAGAUAUCACGAAGAACUCCGAUUGCGAAGGCAGCUCACUGGACUGCAACUGACACUGAGGCUCGAAAGUGUGGGUAUCAAACAGGAUUAGAUACCCGAGUAGUC
rnacentral:rRNA from 1 species